rnacentral:rRNA from 1 species
AUGGAGCGCUCGGCGGCGGGCGCCUCGUACCAGCGCUUCCCGCGCGUGCGGAUCCGCGAGCUCAAGGACGAGUACGCCAAGUUCGAGCUCAAGGACACCGACGCGAGCAUGGCCAACGCCCUCCGCCGCGUCAUGAUCGCCGAGGUCCCCACCGUCGCCAUCGACCUCGUCGAGAUCGAGAGCAACUCCUCCGUCCUCAACGACGAGUUCCUCGCGCACCGCCUCGGCCUCAUCCCGCUCACCUCCUCCGCCGCCAUGUCCAUGCGCUUCUCCCGCGACUGCGACGCCUGCGACGGGGACGGCUCCUGCGAGUACUGCUCCGUCGAGUUCCACCUCGCCGCCCGCGCCACCGACUCCGGCCAGACGCUCGAGGUCACCUCCACCAAGGACCUCCGCUCCACCGACCCCAAGGUCUGCCCUGUCGACCAGCAAAGGGAGUACCAGCAGGCCCUCGGCAACGUCGACGCUUACGAGCCCGAUGCUGCCGGUGACCACAGGCUAUACAAGUGGACGAUGGGGAUGGUGGCAGCGGCUUACACGGGGAGAGGAAGAGGUCGAAGGAGAUGGAACCUUCCUGCAAGAAAUCGGUGGAAGGGCAUAUUAAUUGUAAAGCUGCGCCGUGGGCAAGAGCUGCGUCUUCGAGCAAUUGCCAGGAAGGGAAUUGGAAAGGACCAUGCCAAAUGGUCUCCAGCUGCUACUGUGACCUUCAUGUAUGAGCCUGACAUACGUAUUAACCAAGAACUCAUGGAGACACUUACACUUGAGGAAAAACAAAGCUGGGUGGAGAGCAGCCCUACAAAAGUAUUUGACAUUGAUCCUGUCACCCAACAGGUGACGAUUGUGGACCCAGAGGCCUACACAUAUGACGAUGAGGUGAUCAAGAAAGCAGAGGCCAUGGGGAAGCCAGGAUUGGUAGAGAUCAACGCCAAGGAGGACAGCUUUGUGUUCACUGUGGAGACAACGGGGGCCAUUACAGCCUAUGAGCUGAUUAUGAACGCUAUCACGGUCCUGAGGCAGAAGCUGGACGCCGUUCGCCUGCAAGACGAUGACGGCGAUCUGGGCGAGCUCGGCGCCCACCUUAUCGGAGGCUAA